GGCACUUUAGCUCAGUGGUCUAGAGCACUUCUCUAGAAAGCAAGAGGGUCCCGGGUUCGAAUCCUGGAAGAGCCA